GGCCCAUAUCAUGCAAAAUCCACUUUUUAGACAUUUUGGAGCGUCCCUAUGACUCUAUGGGUCACAUAUACACACACUGAGCACGGUAGAAAUGCAUUUCCUGCUUUUUUCACAUUUUGAAAACGUAAAUUUUCUCAUCCAAUGAAAACAGCCACGACCUACUCUGAGGCCGUGUCCCAGUUGUCGUCACACUGGUUGAAAGUUCUCCUUGCAAAUCCUGAACCACCACCCCCACAAUGAUCCCGAACCAAAACUGGACUUCCGCCAUUUCCCCCCUCUCACUGACCGUGAACAGACCAGCACGGCAGCGCCCAAGUCCUCCCAUAGAAAUAGUUCGGUUCUUAGGUGUUCUAACCAACACCAAAGUCUCUUCACUUUACCAAGGGAUCAACAAGUGAGGAUUUGUGGGUCACUUUUAUUUUUAACGGACCGGUGCCAGAAACACUGCCUCAGCAUUUAUACGUAUGUGCAUUUCAAACAAGGGUGCGUACAAUGCUGGAUUUGUUUCACGGCUCCUGUUGGAAAAAAAGGACCUAUUCCUAAAGUCCGUCAUCCACUCACUGAAGAGGGCAAAUCCCAGUUGCCCACAUGCAAGGAGGCUGUGAAACAGAGAAAUCACUGCAGACUGUACACAGACAUCUGCUGCCAAGCUCAGGAGUGAAGGUAUGUAAGUUUGUAUGUACCAACAGUAAGAUAGGUAAUAGAAGAUUUUAAUUGGUAUAUACUGUUUAGAUUUUAUAUUUGAAUUGUAACAACUGUUUAUCUGUUGUUUUAGCACAGACAGGCCUGUCCUCUUGUUUGGUUUAAUUUUUUGUCUGGUAUUGUGUGUUCUUACAUUAGAGAAGGUUUUGACCUACAUAAUAAUUAACAUUUCACUAAUCUACAAUUCUGAUUGCACUACCUUUUGUUUUGAUGAGGUGAUGGUGAGGACAGCCACAGCUUCCAUCUGGUAGAGGACUGCUUCCGCUCAGUCUUCCAAAUAGUGAUGAGAACAAGGAUCACCACAUC